rnacentral:rRNA from 1 species
UCCGUAGGGUGCGAGCGUUAUUCGGAAUUACUGGGCGUAAAGCGCGCGCAGGCGGUUCGUUGUGUCUGGUGUGAAAUCCCCGGGCUCAACCUGGGAAUGGCAUGUGGGACUGCAAGGCUCGAGUUUGGCAGAGGAGACUGGAAUUCCUGGUGUAGCAGUGAAAUGCGUAGAUAUCAGGAGGAAUACCGAUGGCGAAGGCAGGUCUCUGGGCUGAAACUGACGCUCAUGCACGAAAGCGUGGGGAGCAAACAGG